rnacentral:rRNA from 1 species
AGAGUUUGAUCCUGGCUCAGGAUGAACGCUAGCGGCAGGCUUAACACAUGCAAGUCGAGGGGUAACAUUGUGCUUGCACAGAUGACGACCGGCGCACGGGUGCGUAACGCGUAUAGAACCUACCUUUUACAGAGGAAUAGCCUUUAGAAAUGAAGAUUAAUGCCUCAUAGUAUUGUAGACUGGCAUCAGUUUAUAAUUAAAGAUUUAUCGGUAAAAGAUGGCUAUGCGUCCUAUUAGUUAGUUGGUAAGGUAACGGCUUACCAAGACAGCGAUAGGUAGGGGUCCUGAGAGGGAGAUCCCCCACACUGGUACUGAGACACGGACCAGACUCCUACGGGAGGCAGCAGUGAGGAAUAUUGGACAAUGGAGGAGACUCUGAUCCAGCCAUGCCGCGUGUAGGAAGAAUGCCCUUUGGGUUGUAAACUACUUUUAUACAGGAAGAAACACUGGUAUGUAUACCAGCUUGACGGUACUGUAAGAAUAAGGACCGGCUAACUCCGUGCCAGCAGCCGCGGUAAUACGGAGGGUCCGAGCGUUAUCCGGAAUCAUUGGGUUUAAAGGGUCCGCAGGCGGUCGAUUAAGUCAGAGGUGAAAUCCCAUAGCUCAACUAUGGAACUGCCUUUGAUACUGGUUGACUUGAGUCAUAUGGAAGUAGAUAGAAUGUGUAGUGUAGCGGUGAAAUGCAUAGAUAUUACACAGAAUACCGAUUGCGAAGGCAGUCUACUACGUAUGUACUGACGCUGAGGGACGAAAGCGUGGGGAGCGAACAGGAUUAGAUACCCUGGUAGUCCACGCCGUAAACGAUGGAUACUAGUUGUUGGGAUUUAUCUCAGUGACUAAGCGAAAGUGAUAAGUAUCCCACCUGG